rnacentral:piRNA from 1 species
GUGAAAUGGAGCCAGCUACGUC